UGACGAAGGGCAUAUGAUUUGAGUUUGGAAAACAAGGGUAAAAUAGUAGUUUCAGUGCUACGAAAGAAAAGAAAAGAAAAACCUAAAAUGCAGAAUGAUUGGGCUUGAAAAGUCACUGUGGAUCUGUGACUCAUUCACAGUGAAGAGAGAGAGAAAUCAAAUACCCUUGCGGCAAUGUUGAUGACUCCAUAGAUUCCUGGUUCAUAUAAGAUACUCUCUCUCUCUUUUUCUCUUCAUCAGAUUCUUCUGUUUUCGCUAUUUGUACUAUUUUUCAGAUCAAUGUUGUGUUGCGUGCGUGGAUUGUGAAUUUUGUGACGGAAGAGAAGUAACUGCCAUUACACUUUCUGUUUCUGUUCAGAUCUGUGUUUUCCGCAUCAUCGAUUCGUCUUUGCUGUUUAUAGCUUUCUGUUUCUUACAUUUUUCUGUGAUAAUCUAUUUCGGGUUGUGGUUUUCGAUUAUUUUAAUUUAAGAGAGGCGACAAAGUCGCUGGACGCAGCGGUUCAUCGAUCUCUUCCUGAAUUUGGCUGUGGAAGAACACAAAACAAGAAUCGGUCGAUAAACCUCUGCAUCCAGCGCUCAUCUCGCCUCUCUCUCUCUCUUUUGAUGGUUUCAUGUUUAAUUCCUCUUGUUUUCAUAUAUAGAUUAAUUCUCUGGUUUUCGAUAAAGCUGAUCUAGAUGCAUCUGGUUGUUGUGGCUUACUUGUGAAUUGCGAUUUAGUAAUUAUUUUCCAUCCAUUUCUAUGAUGCGUAUUGCUGGUGAGGCUUAGUGAAUGAAUUCACCUUCCAAUAGAAUGAGAAUGCCUCUAGUGUUGCAGGUGCUGUCAAUUUCCCGAUUUGGGAUAAAGGGGAUAAAAAAGUCUUUAGGAAUAUUUCGAUAAGGACGGACCAAUUCCCUUAAAAAUGUUGUGUAUUCGAUUCUCGUUGCGACGUUGCCUCAUGCUCAUAUGGAGUGCGUUGGUACUUGGUAGACGAUCUGUAGGUACUUUGUAAGCGAACUAUGAUCUUGAGAGCAUGUCCUAACCCAAGGUGGUGACCUGACACGCCUCUUUUCUUCACCAAUUUUUUUUUGUCUUGAGGAAUAUUUUGGUGUUUCCUUUUAUUUUCUUUCCUUUUUAUUACUCUAUCUUCACUGUUCUUACUCUUAUGUUUAAUCACUCUAAAAUUGAAGUGUCCUUGGUUUUUCUUCUAAACCUAUUUGCCCCAAAUAGGAAUGCUUCCUGCUAGCCUCAAAUCUCCACCUUUAUGUAAAGUAAUGAUAAUCUUGCUUGUUGGUUUUCAUUUUGUUUUGGUGCAGAAUUAGUAUAAUUUGUUUGUUCUGGUUUUAAUCCAUCAAUUUUUAGUGCUCCUAUGGAAUUUCAGAUCUUAGUAUUCAUGGCAUAAUUAAUGGUUGUUGUGAUUAUAGUUCCUACUGUCCACUCUUGAAAAAACUCAUGUUUUGGUUGUUUGGACUUUGUUUGUGGAUCAGAUACUUAAAAUGGUCAUGCAGAUGCAGUCACCUUUCCAUUGAUUCUGAUUCCCCAAAUACAUGUUUCACAUGUUAUGGAACAAAACGGGAAGAAAUGUCCACAUUCAUUUAUAAAUUUCUGAGUGUCUUUAUUAAGGAACUGGAGCUUCUUUUUCAAGAUGCUCAAGGGCAGUACUAUAAAUGUGUCAUUUUCAUUUCUUCACCGUAUGGGUUAAAGGUCUCUGCUUGUUUCUUUCUUGUUAUGGAAAAAGGUAUCUCUGUGAUGUAGGCUUCUAAUUGGUAUGCCACACACUGCACGCUACCUAGUUUUACUGCAUCUAGGUCUUGGCUAGCUGAAUGAAAGUCAUUUAAUGGUGACGGUCGCAGUGGUUAGGAAUGGUUCAAAGUGGCUGUGUGAACUCCUGAGGUUGAAAGUUUCAUCAUUAAGAAACACAUUUUUAAAGAGACUUUUGACCUUUAGCACACCGGAUCGAAUAGGAUUAUUUCAAUGGAGGAUUACCUAAAAGGGUGUCCCAACUUGCAAGAGAAUCAAUCAUGUAGCUGAUGCUCAUAGGAAUGUGGUAUCGAAUAAGUUCUUGUAUACAUGUUAGAAUGAAAAUGGAAGUAAAGCAGGGUAGGUACUUAAGACAAAUCGGGCCGUUAUGUCUGCCAUAUAUUUGGAUUCUAAAAGAGCAUGUACAUAUUAAGCAGAGGAAUAAUAUUGUGAAGCUCAUCUAUUUAAGGAUAUCCUUACAUUUUAUUCCUGGGUUCGUAUUCCCCAAUUCAAAGUUUUUAGUUUUCUGAUGCUCUGCCUUAAAAGAAAAAGUUUUUCUAUAUUGGUAGAACUUUAAUACAUGUGCUCUUACAUCCUAUUUCCAUUCACUCUCUUUCUAUCCCUUUUUCCUUUUUCUGUCAUAUAACUCAUGAGGUCAUGCUUGUUUGCAAUUUUUAAAGACUUUUAUUUUCUGUUUUUUAAAAACUGAAAAAUUAAAAAAUUAGUUUGUGUAUUUAAGAACUGUUUUUGAUUAAAAAAAAAGAACUGCUUCUAAGAACAGUUUAUUUUUUAUUUUUAAAACUAAAAUCUUUAAAAUCAGCUAAUCAGCCAAAAUAAAAUUUAAAUUGAUAUCAAUGUGAUAUGGUCUUGUGUGUUUUAAGAAAAUCUUAUGGUCUUAUGGAUGGAAAUUAUUAGAUUUGACUCUAAAGUCCUAGAGUGAUUAUAUUUUAGUAAGUAAUCACAAUUAUAUAUAGUGAUUAUGUAUUUUGAAAAGUUAAUAAAACAACUUAAUCGAAAGUUGUAAUUUUUUUAUAGGCAAAUGUUAGUUGUUAAUGUUAGUAAAUUAGUCAUCUUCAGGGUUUAAACCAUGAACCUUUCACCCUGCAUUCUACCCACCUCUUAUGUCCAUAACUCUUUCUCGAGUAUCAUUUAAGCUAUCAUUUAGGGACUCGAAAGUUGUAAUUAACUAAUUAUUUACUUUAAAGUGAGAGACUCUUUUUUAGAGUAGCUGGACCCGCUUUAGGCCUUGAUUCUAUGGAUAUUGUUUAAUUUCAUGAUCGCACGCUAAUCGCGUCUUCUUGGAUUGGGCAAUGUAUAAGUCCAAGGCUGUGAUCAUUGUGAGGACGAAAGUAACAAGGAUUUAAAUUUCAAGGAGAUGAAAAUUUGCGGUUGAGAUGGCUACCAAAGAAAAUGACCAUUAUAAGAUGCCAAACUCCAUGACAAUGACCUUUUUGUCGUUUGUAAGAUGGCCUUAUGAGAACUUGUAACUUAGGUACAAUGGAAUCCAGAGAUAUUAUUUAAUAGAUUCAUCAUGUGAAUAAUGCAGAAAACAUAUUAUCUUGUUCUGUCUUUUGUGCUUUAGUGGGAACAAAGAUAAAGCAUUCAUAGAAGGGAGGUGAAAGCUACCAUACCAUGUUGGACAAUAGUACAAAGAUCUUAUGGGUUCAUGUGAGAAGUAUGGAGAAGAAAGAUCUUAAUUUUUUUUAGUCUUCAUAAGUGCAUAUGUUUGUGGAGUAGUAGUACUAACCUCUAUUCAUAUGUGUGAUUGAUUUUUUUGAUGACUUUGUAGAACAUCAUUUAAUAAUGAACAAGCUCUUCUAUCUUUUUCUCGUACUUUUUAAUUAUGCUCUUCUUUCGUAAUAGCAGUUAUAUAAAAGUAAUAUUUAUGAGCAGGAAGAUAUGGACAAUAUUCAAGUCAAUUAUCAUCAUUAUCAUUAUAAUGCUUUUAUCAAGCAAUAUAUAUAAACUAUCUUACAAGAGUCACAUUAUUUCAUACAAAGAGUUAGGCAUGUCAAAAAACUAUCGAACUGAACCGAACUUGAGCAAUCAGCUAGUCUUUUUACCGAAUAGGUUUGUUCGACCGCAAGUUUAACCAAUCCAAUUUUAUGGGUUCAUAUGGGUUUGGCCGGUUGAUUUCGGUUUUGGGGUCUAGCCUGACCGAACCAGCGAUUAGAAAAAAAAACGUUCAGCAUUGACCCAAUAUCCCACUAACCUUAGUCUCAUUUAGACCAUAUAAAUACUCUCCUAACCAUUAGCCUCUCAACCUCAGCUGCCACCCCACCACUAUAUCAGAAUCAGAAGGAAACUCACUCUGUCGCAUGUUCCACCGUCAUGGAGUUCGUAGAAGCUUUAGUGCAUGUGCUCAGAAUCGCAUCCUCACCUAUGAUAUGCUCAAUUAGACUUGAAAUGUUAGCAACCACGUCCGAUCUCGUGCUGAAUAUUACACAUCAGAGCAAAUAUCAGAAGUGUUUUAUGCAGAUAGGCCCCGUCAAAAUUUGGCUGGGUUCAUAUCAGAAAUCUCUAGAUUAGAGUCUCUUCCGAGUUCCGAGAGACACUUCUUCGAACAGUGUGAGAAGGAAUGCUUGAGAAACUGCUCUCAUACAACCCAUGCAGUUGCUGGUGGAAACUACGUAGAUUGGACACAGUUCAUGAAUUGAAGAUUGGAGUUUUUGUCUAAUUGUGAAUUUUUCUUAAUUUAAGGAUUUUUGUGAAUUGAUUAUUCGAAUCUUUACUGUUAUGUUUUUCUAUUUAUGUAUUAGUUAGUUUGCUUUGAGUUUUUUGUUAUUGUAAUAUACUGUGAUAAGUGUUCCCAGGCCUGGAUUUUCUAUUUGUUUUCUGUUGUAGUUUAAAGAGCUCGAUACAAGGAUUUGAAUAUGUGGGUGGUGGCGCUGGCCAUGAACCACUUGACUGAAGUACGUUUUUUUGGUAUGUCUAUUUUACUUUAAAACAAGGGGCCUCUUUACUUGUGAUUUUGUAAUGUGUGAUUUUUCUCACGAAGAAGUAGUGCAUCUUUGAACAAGUUGUAGAAAGUGAGGACGGAUGCAAUAUGUGGUUCUCCCUCUGUAUUUCUCUUUUGAUGACCUCUACUCGCUGUGAUUUGCAGAAGUUCUUUAGAUAUACAAUUCUUCCUUUUUUCUAACUGUAUGAGAAAAUAGAUUUUGUUGGAUUUUUUUUUGUUUUUUCUGAGUGAGUUUGUUCGAUUUUGUAUGAAACCAUAUGGAUUUGAUUCACAUUUUGUUUGAGGAAAGCAUAUUGAAAACUGAAUUUGAUUUUAGUUUUUGUUUAGUCCAACUACUCUGGCUUUGCAGACUUGAAGA